rnacentral:rRNA from 1 species
UACGUAGGGGGCGAGCGUUAUCCGGAAUCACUGGGCGUAAAGCGCACGUAGGCGGCUUUUUAAGUCAGAGGUGAAAUCCUGGAGCUCAACUCCAGAACUGCCUUUGAUACUGGAGAGCUUGAGUCCGGGAGAGGUGAGUGGAACUGCGAGUGUAGAGGUGAAAUUCGUAGAUAUUCGCAAGAACACCAGUGGCGAAGGCGGCUCACUGGCCCGGUACUGACGCUGAGGUGCGAAAGCGUGGGGAGCAAACAGG